rnacentral:rRNA from 1 species
CAGUCGCCGCGGGAAUACGAAGGGGGCUAGCGUUGCUCGGAAUGACUGGGCGUAAAGGGCGCGUAGGCGGUUCGUACAGUUGGAUGUGAAAUUCCUGGGCUCAACCCGGGGGCUGCAUUCAAUACGUGCGGGCUUGAGUGUGGAAGAGGGUUGUGGAAUUCCCAGUGUAGAGGUGAAAUUCGUAGAUAUUGGGAAGAACACCGGUGGCGAAGGCGGCAACCUGGUCCAUAACUGACGCUGAGGCGCGAAAGCGUGGGGAGCAAACAGGAUUAGAUACCCGCGUAGUCCCUGUCUCUUAUAC